rnacentral:rRNA from 1 species
GCCCUGGCAGUCAGAGGCGAUGAAGGACGUGCUAAUCUGCGAUAAGCGUCGGUAAGGUGAUAUGAACCGUUAUAACCGGCGAUUUCCGAAUGGGGAAACCCAGUGUGAUUCGUCACACUAUCAUUAACUGAAUCCAUAGGUUAAUGAGGCGAACCGGGGGAACUGAAACAUCUAAGUACCCCGAGGAAAAGAAAUCAACCGAGAUUCCCCCAGUAGCGGCGAGCGAACGGGGAGGAGCCCAGAGCCUGAAUCAGUGUGUGUGUUAGUGGAAGCGUCUGGAAAGGCGCGCGAUACAGGGUGACAGCCCCGUACACAAAAAUGCACAUGCUGUGAGCUCGAUGAGUAGGGCGGGACACGUGGUAUCCUGUCUGAAUAUGGGGGGACCAUCCUCCAAGGCUAAAUACUCCUGACUGACCGAUAGUGAACCAGUACCGUGAGGGAAAGGCGAAAAGAACCCCGGCGAGGGGAGUGAAAAAGAACCUGAAACCGUGUACGUACAAGCAGUGGGAGCACAGAGCAAUCUGUGUGACUGCGUACCUUUUGUAUAAUGGGUCAGCGACUUAUAUUCUGUAGCAAGGUUAACCGAAUAGGGGAGCCGAAGGGAAACCGAGUCUUAACUGGGCGUUAAGUUGCAGGGUAUAGACCCGAAACCCGGUGAUCUAGCCAUGGGCAGGUUGAAGGUUGGGUAACACUAACUGGAGGACCGAACCGACUAAUGUUGAAAAAUUAGCGGAUGACUUGUGGCUGGGGGUGAAAGGCCAAUCAAACCGGGAGAUAGCUGGUUCUCCCCGAAAGCUAUUUAGGUAGCGCCUCGUGAAUUCAUCUCCGGGGGUAGAGCACUGUUUCGGCAAGGGGGUCAUCCCGACUUACCAACCCGAUGCAAACUGCGAAUACCGGAGAAUGUUAUCACGGGAGACACACGGCGGGUGCUAACGUCCGUCGUGAAGAGGGAAACAACCCAGACCGCCAGCUAAGGUCCCAAAGUCAUGGUUAAGUGGGAAACGAUGUGGGAAGGCCCAGACAGCCAGGAUGUUGGCUUAGAAGCAGCCAUCAUUUAAAGAAAGCGUAAUAGCUCACUGGUCGAGUCGGCCUGCGCGGAAGAUGUAACGGGGCUAAACCAUGCACCGAAGCUGCGGCAGCGACGCUUAUGCGUUGUUGGGUAGGGGAGCGUUCUGUAAGCCUGCGAAGGUGUGCUGUGAGGCAUGCUGGAGGUAUCAGAAGUGCGAAUGCUGACAUAAGUAACGAUAAAGCGGGUGAAAAGCCCGCUCGCCGGAAGACCAAGGGUUCCUGUCCAACGUUAAUCGGGGCAGGGUGAGUCGACCCCUAAGGCGAGGCCGAAAGGCGUAGUCGAUGGGAAACAGGUUAAUAUUCCUGUACUUGGUGUUACUGCGAAGGGGGGACGGAGAAGGCUAUGUUGGCCGGGCGACGGUUGUCCCGGUUUAAGCGUGUAGGCUGGUUUUCCAGGCAAAUCCGGAAAAUCAAGGCUGAGGCGUGAUGACGAGGCACUACGGUGCUGAAGCAACAAAUGCCCUGCUUCCAGGAAAAGCCUCUAAGCAUCAGGUAACAUCAAAUCGUACCCCAAACCGACACAGGUGGUCAGGUAGAGAAUACCAAGGCGCUUGAGAGAACUCGGGUGAAGGAACUAGGCAAAAUGGUGCCGUAACUUCGGGAGAAGGCACGCUGAUAUGUAGGUGAAGCGACUUGCUCGUGGAGCUGAAAUCAGUCGAAGAUACCAGCUGGCUGCAACUGUUUAUUAAAAACACAGCACUGUGCAAACACGAAAGUGGACGUAUACGGUGUGACGCCUGCCCGGUGCCGGAAGGUUAAUUGAUGGGGUCAGCGCAAGCGAAGCUCUUGAUCGAAGCCCCGGUAAACGGCGGCCGUAACUAUAACGGUCCUAAGGUAGCGAAAUUCCUUGUCGGGUAAGUUCCGACCUGCACGAAUGGCGUAAUGAUGGCCAGGCUGUCUCCACCCGAGACUCAGUGAAAUUGAACUCGCUGUGAAGAUGCAGUGUACCCGCGGCAAGACGGAAAGACCCCGUGAACCUUUACUAUAGCUUGACACUGAACAUUGAGCCUUGAUGUGUAGGAUAGGUGGGAGGCUUUGAAGUGUGGACGCCAGUCUGCAUGGAGCCGACCUUGAAAUACCACCCUUUAAUGUUUGAUGUUCUAACGUGGACCCGUAAUCCGGGUUGCGGACAGUGUCUGGUGGGUAGUUUGACUGGGGCGGUCUCCUCCUAAAGAGUAACGGAGGAGCACGAAGGUUGGCUAAUCCUGGUCGGACAUCAGGAGGUUAGUGCAAUGGCAUAAGCCAGCUUGACUGCGAGCGUGACGGCGCGAGCAGGUGCGAAAGCAGGUCAUAGUGAUCCGGUGGUUCUGAAUGGAAGGGCCAUCGCUCAACGGAUAAAAGGUACUCCGGGGAUAACAGGCUGAUACCGCCCAAGAGUUCAUAUCGACGGCGGUGUUUGGCACCUCGAUGUCGGCUCAUCACAUCCUGGGGCUGAAGUAGGUCCCAAGGGUAUGGCUGUUCGCCAUUUAAAGUGGUACGCGAGCUGGGUUUAGAACGUCGUGAGACAGUUCGGUCCCUAUCUGCCGUGGGCGCUGGAGAACUGAGGGGGGCUGCUCCUAGUACGAGAGGACCGGAGUGGACGCAUCACUGGUGUUCGGG